GAUGAAGAACGCAGCGAGAUGCGAUACUUGGUGUGAAUUGCAGAAUCCCGUGAACCAUCGAGUCUUUGAACGCAAGUUGCGCCCGAAGCCAUUAGGCCUAGGGCACGCCUGCCUGGGCGUCACACGUCGUUGCCCCCCCAUCUACUCCUUCGGGAUUGCGGGGGGCGGAUGAUGGCCUCCCGUGCGCCUUGUCGCGCGGUUGGCAUAAAUGCCAAGUCCUCGGCGACGCACGCCACGACAAUCGGUGGUUGCGAAACCUCGGUUGCCCGUCGUGUGCGGUCGUCGCGCAUCGAGGGCUCGAAAAAAUUGUCGGGCUCCGGCUCGGCUUUCAACGCGACCCCAGGUCAGGCGGGGUUACCCGCUGAAUUUAAGCAUAUCAAUAAGCGGAGGA
rnacentral:misc_RNA from 1 species